UAGAAAUAGAGAGGCGAUGAAAGAAGCAAAGAGGCGAAGAGGAAACGGGGAAAGAAGCAGAGAGGCGAUGAAAUAGAGGAUGAGGCCUGUGACACGGAGAAAGAAACAGAGAAAGGCGAAGAACUCUACAUCGAUUCUGCAACGUUUAUGGUUUAAUCCAACCAAAAUCCCGAUCAUUACAACAUUUGAAAGCCCGAUUUAUAGAGAGAGUGCUUCGUUCCCUCGCCAAACUUAAAGCAUCGCUGCAAGCAGAAAGAAAAAACUAUGGGCAUCAACACCGUUACGCUAUAUAUCUACCACCAUUAGAUCGUCGGAACCAGUUCCGGUACCAGCAGUUGGUAUUCCAGCACCAAAAAGGGCUCAACCUCUUGGUACCAUCCCUGCUGCUUGUUGGGGUUCUGCACUUAUUUUGCCAAUUUCAUAUACAUACAUAGCCAUGAUGGGUUCUAAGGGACUCAUUGAAGCCUCAAAGAUAGCAACCUUGAAUGCAAACUACAUGGCAAAACGUUUGGAGAGCCACUACCCCAUUCUUUUUCGAGGAGUCAAUGGAAUAGUCGCCCAUGAAUUCAUCAUUGACUUGAGGGCUUUCAAGGAUAAAAGUGUUUGUGAACAUGUGCAAAGAAAGGAACCUGUAACUGCCAGAUAAGAACAAUGGCUGAAGAGUUACAGAAAGGGUAUAUCGUUGGCUAUGUGAAUAUUAAAGCAAAAAUGUUGUUUAUACUUUGCAAGUUGAACUUAGACAUUGAUGCUCAAGAUUUAUCAUCUCUGCUCUGGCUUAUGAAACUGUUGGUAACUAUUCAAGAAAAGCUCCUCGAUUGAGUUGAAAGGUCAGGACAACUUAAUCUCCCUUUUUUUUUUUUACUUUUAUUUAAAUUUGUCUCUUUUUCAUUUGUUAAUGUUUGAUUAAAAAAACUUUGAACAAAAAAAGUUUAAUAAGAUUAUUAAAUAUGUACUUUUUGACUCUUAAAUCAGAUGCUAAAUUUUUUUUCUCUUUACCAUGUCUAGGAUUCUUCUUUCACCCCUAUUGAAAUAUAGAUAGGUUUAGUAUUUUAAUUUGGAUACUUUGGUCUCAAAUUAACAUCUCUACUUUUUUGUUUUGAUAGCAUUGGGAGUAUAGCCCAAGCUUAGAGUGUAGAUUUAUUGACAAUUUUUUUCAAAGUGAAAUUGGAAGUAGGAACAAACAAAGAAAUAGCAAAGAUUUUGUUAAAAAACUGUGUUACUUCAUAUCAAGGGAUUAUUUAUUUUAUAUGGUUUUAUGAUUAUUUCCUGCAAUUUUAAAAAACCUUCUUACCCUUUCACUUUUUGUUGAAAUUCAGAUUUGUUGAGUUUUCCCUAUCAAGUAUGAAACUUAAUAAUUCUUUAAUAUGCCAAAUUUUAACUUGGAUGGUUUAAAAUCUGAAAGUUUAGACUGUAUAGUUAUGGGUUUACCCUCUUUCUAUCGAUGUUAUGGUUUGAGAUUAUUGUUUCUGGUAGUUAUUUUGUGUUGCUGGAAUUUUGCUCAUGAAGAACAGAAAAAGGCUUAUAUUUUAGAAGGUUAUUCAGGUAUUGGUGCUUUCAACUGUGCAUUCUAAAUUUUCUAUAUUUUGUGGGAAAGGGUCAAAAAGAAAGAAAUAAACUAAAGAAUAGAGCACAUGGUGUGUGUAUAGUGUCUUUGGUAAAUUUGGAGAAUUAUGUUGAAUCAUUCAUAUACUAAGAAGUUUCUUUCCCUGCCUAAAAAAAAAAAAGAACCUAGAAAUUAAACCAGAAAUAAUAGUCCAUCUGAAGUGAAGGAAAUGUCUAUGCUUGGUGAAAAGAAGGAAUUUUACCUCUGUUCUCUAAUGUAAAAAGUUAAGAAAACAGAGAAUAUCCAAACUACUUGAUGUGUUUAAAUUUGUUAAGAGAUGAGAUUUUAGAUGCAAUUCCUCUAGCAUGUAUGUGCUUCAACUUUGGACAUCAGUUUAGUAAAAAAUUUCUAAAGAACCAUUUGAAUUACAACUUAUUAAAAAAAGAAAAUUGUUUGAAUUACGAGAAUUAUGUGCUUUUAAUUAUUAAUAAAAAUUUUCUUGACACUAUAGUGCCUGUGACUAUUACACGCUUGAAACUUCCAUGGACGAGGUUUGGUGGCUAGGAUUAUAAGAUGCGUUCUUAGAAUUUAGACUACAAAAGAUUGAGCAGAGUGUAACUUGGCAGAGAAAAAAUAUGAAUUUAUUUUUCUUUUCCAAUUUUGUUUUAGGUUGUUUUGUGGUUUUCAACUUUUCAUAGAUUUAAUUUAGAGUGUUUCUUCCAAUAGAUAUUAAAAUAUUGUUUUUGUGUAUUUAUACAUUGGAAUUUUACCUUAUAUUAUUAUUGAAUAUGUUCUCCUUAGUUUUAGUGAUUGUUUUAGAUUAGCAAAAAUAGUUUUGAGUGGAUUAUGAAUAGAAGUGCACUUCUACUAAAGAAAACAAUUUUUGAAACGUGGAGCUCAAAAGGUUGUAUUAGCUUCUGUCAUUUCAGAGGUUACAUUAAAAUAGGUUUUCAUUAUGCUAUUGCCUCUGGUUGGACAACAAUCAUCCAUUUAGCACAACAAAGAAUCCAUUUUGUUCUUAUUGUGUAUACCUUUGUAGUUGGCAUGUUCAAGAUAGACAAAAUAAAAAUAAUGCAUGUGAGAAGAUAUGUAUUUGUCAUCAUUUUUUUUCCAAGUGCUAUUGUGCUAUAGUUUUUGCAGGUGAAUGAUGAUGGCCCAAUUCAUCCAUGUGAAACAAAGCUGGCACUUACAGUUCAUCAGGGCUAGAAUAUGGCUUAGCUCACUACGGGGAAUUUUGGACUUUUGACAAUGCUAUUGAACCUAACUCUAUAUCCCACAAUUGUCAUUUUUGUUUUUGGCAUUAUUAAAACAAAGGUUUUAAUAAACAUAUUAACUGUUGUAUUUAUUAUACUGUUAUGUCAAAUUAUGGUAUUUUAAAUGUGCAAAAUGUUCCCCGCGCAUUGCACGGGUUAAAAGCUA